rnacentral:rRNA from 1 species
ACGGAAGGCAGCAGUGGGGAAUAUUGCGCAAUGGGCGCAAGCCUGAUGCAGCAACGCCGCGUGAGGGAAGACGGUCUUCGGAUUGUAAACCUUUGUCUUUGGUGAAGAAGAAAGUGACGGUAGCCAAGGAGGAAGCCACGGCUAACUACGUGCCAGCAGCCGCGGUAAUACGUAGGUGGCAAGCGUUAUCCGGAUUUACUGGGUGUAAAGGGAGCGCAGGCGGGACAGCAAGUUGGAUGUGAAAUACCGAGGCUUAACCACGGAGCUGCAUCCAAAACUGUUGUUCUUGAGUGAAGUAGAGGUAGGCGGAAUUCCGAGUGUAGCGGUGAAAUGCGUAGAUAUUAGGAGGAACACCAGUGGCGAAGGCGGCUUACUGGACUGUAACUGACGUUGAGGCUCGAAAGCGUGGGGAGCAAACAGGAUUAGAUACCCUGGUA